GGCAGUGUAGCAUAGUGGUUAAGGAGCUGGGCUCCUAACUGAAAGGUUGCUGGUUCAAUUCCACUGCCACUGUAC